rnacentral:rRNA from 1 species
GACGAACGCUGGCGGCGUGCUUAACACAUGCAAGUCGAACGGGCCUGUCUUCUUUUUUGGGGGUGGGUUGAGUGGCGAACGGGUGAGUAUCACGUGAGUAACCUGCCCUUCGGUCCUGGAUAACCGCUUGAAAGGGCGGCUAAUACGGGGUGGUCCGGUUGGUCCGCAUGGGCUGGUCGGGAUAGAUUCACUGUUUUUGGUGUUUCGGCGGGGGAUGGGCUCGCGGCCUAUCAGCUUGUUGGUGGGGUGAUGGCCUACCAGGGCGGUGACGGGUAGCCGGCCUGAGAGGGUGGGCGGCCACACUGGGACUGAGAUACGGCCCAGACUCCUGCGGGAGGCAGCAGUGGGGGGUAUUGCACAAUGGGCGGAAGCCUGAUGCAGCGACGUCGCGUGAGGGAUGGAGGCCUUCGGGUUGUGAACCUCUGUUUCCGGUGGUGAAGGCCCUGUCCGUGUGGUGGGGUUGACGGUAGCCGGGGAUGAAGCGCCGGCUAACUACGUG